rnacentral:rRNA from 1 species
GACGGAGGAUGCAAGCGUUAUCCGGAAUUAUUGGGCGUAAAGCGUCCGCAGGUGGCCAACCAAGUCUGUCGUCAAAGACCGCAGCUUAACUGCGGGAAGGCGGUGGAAACUGGUAGGCUAGAGGGCAGUAGGGGUAGAGGGAAUUCCCAGUGUAGCGGUGAAAUGCGUAGAGAUUGGGAAGAACACCGGUGGCGAAAGCGCUCUACUGGACUGCAACUGACACUAAGGGACGAAAGCUAGGGGAG